AUACGUAGGUGGCAAGCGUUGUCCGGAAUUAUUGGGCGUAAAGAGCAUGUAGGUGGGCUGUUAAGUCUGUUGUGAAAAUGCGGGGCUCAACCCCGUAUUGCGAUGGAAACUGACAGUCUUGAGUGCAGGAGAGGAAAGGGGAAUUCCCAGUGUAGCGGUGAAAUGCGUAGAUAUUGGGAGGAACACCAGUGGCGAAGGCGCCUUUCUGGACUGUGUCUGACACUGAGAUGCGAAAGCUAGGGGAGCGAACGGGAUUAGAUACCCCGGUAGUCCUAGCCGUAAACGAUGGGUACUAGGUGUAGGGGGUAUCGACCCCCCCUGUGCCGGAGUUAACGCAAUAAGUACCCCGCCUGGGGAGUACGGCCGCAAGGUUGAA
rnacentral:rRNA from 1 species